GUGUGUGUGUUUUAACCUAUGUGUGUCUUCCGUCUGACGCACGUAAUUAUAAAUCGAUUCCUAGAUGGCAGCUCUGUGUCUAUCGAACUCAAAAGCUAACAUCAUUUGCAUAACAAACAUUUACCCGAUUAACUAUUCAUUUUAUUCAACGACUGUAGUCGCACAAUAGAGUUUAUAAUUAUGUUUUUUGGUAAUCCUAUCGACUUUUGAAAUGCUAGCAAUGCUCAAGUCAGUUUGAUGAACUCGUCGGAUGCGGGCGCGCUGUGCAGUUAUUAGAAACGGGGCGCGGUUGUUGUUAUUAUCCACACGCUGAACUUUCAUCAUCACGUGAUUAUACAUUUUUUUUUUUGCGCUCGCGCGAUCAGCAGAAAAAUGACUCACCAAAUAAGAAAUGGUGGGUCGAGCCCCAAGUGUUUACAUCUCGUGCCCCAGGGAGCUUUUUCUUGGCUAAAAAUCAGCCCAAGGAAACUUUGUUCCAGACUUUGUGUGUUGUGUUGACAUUCGUCGACUACGUGGCGGCAGGGUGGUGGUGGCAUAACUUACGGUUCGCGUGUCAUCAUUGCCCCCCACCCCUGUUGCAUGGGAGUAGUCAGCAAUCUCUUUUGUUUUUCUCCUCCACGCCAACCUUUAGCCGGCCUCGUUAUAUUUACUUUGGGUAAUAACAACACACAGCAGAAAGACUUGUAACCGGAGAAAAAUAAUAAGAUCAAAGGUCUCUGACAUGUCAAGUUUUCUUUUACGUUUUACUUUUUUUUCGAAUCUUUUUCUUUAAAAUUCGCGGUAAACCCAGUUCUAACUUUGACCGCUAGAUGGCGUUGAACGUUUGAAUAGAAAAUAAAAUGAUAGAAUUGUUUUUGUAGUUUGAAA